rnacentral:rRNA from 1 species
UACGGAGGGGGCGAGCGUUGUUCGGAAUUAUUGGGCGUAAAGGGCGCGUAGGCGGCGGAAUAAGUCAGACGUGAAAUCCCUCGGCUUAACCGAGGAAUUGCGUCUGAAACUGCUCCGCUUGAGGCCGGGAGAGGAGAGUGGAAUUCCCAGUGUAGCGGUGAAAUGCGUAGAUAUUGGGAGGAACACCGGUGGCGAAGGCGGCUCUCUGGACCGGUUCUGACGCUGAGGCGCGAAAGCUAGGGGAGCAAACAGG